CUACGUGCCAGCAGCCGCGGUAAUACGUAGGUGGCAAGCGUUGUCCGGAAUUAUUGGGCGUAAAGCGCGCGCAGGCGGCCUAUCCAGUCUGUCUUAAAAGUUCGGGGCUCAACCCCGUGAUGGGAUGGAAACUAGUAGGCUAGAGUAUCGGAGAGGAAAGCGGAAUUCCUAGUGUAGCGGUGAAAUGCGUAGAUAUUAGGAAGAACACCAGUGGCGAAGGCGACUUUCUGGACGAAAACUGACGCUGAGGCGCGAAAGCCAGGGGAGCGAACGGGAUUAGAUACCCCGGUAGUCCUGGCCGUAAACGAUGGGUACUAGGUGUAGGAGGUAUCGACCCCUUCUGUGCCGGAGUUAACGCAAUAAGUACCCCGCCUGGGGAGUACGACCGCAAGGUUGAAACUCAAAGGAAUUGACGGGGGCCCGCACAAGCGGUGGAGUAUGUGGUUUAAUUCGACGCAACGCGAAGAACCUUACCAGGUCUUGACAUUGAUGGACAGAACUAGAGAUAG
rnacentral:rRNA from 1 species